rnacentral:rRNA from 1 species
UACGUAGGGUCCAAGCGUUAUCCGGAAUCACUGGGCGUAAAGCGUGCGUAGGUGGAUGUUUAAGUGAGAGGUUAAAUCGUGUGGCUCAACCAUAUCGAUGCCUCUCAUACUGGGCAUCUAGAGGACAGCAGAGGCAAGUGGAACUAGUAGUGUAGCAGUGAAAUGCGUAGAUAUUACUAAGAACACCAAUGGCGAAGGCAGCUUGCUGGGCUACUCCUGACACUGCGGUACGAAAGCGUGGGGAGCGAACAGG